rnacentral:rRNA from 1 species
UACGUAGGGUGCGAGCGUUGUCCGGAAUUAUUGGGCGUAAAGGGCUCGUAGGCGGUUUGUCGCGUCGGGAGUGAAAUCCACUGGCUUAACUGGUGGCUUGCUUUCGAUACGGGCAGACUGGAGGUAUGCAGGGGAGAACGGAAUUCCUGGUGUAGCGGUGAAAUGCGCAGAUAUCAGGAGGAACACCGGUGGCGAAGGCGGGUCUCUGGGACGGUACUGACGCUGAGACGCGAAAGCGUGGGGAGCGAACAGG